AGAACAGUUCCUUAUACGAGACUGCCAGACUCUAAUAUUCCUCAUGUUGGAUAGCCCCUUACUUCUACUGAGCUCACUUGGGGCUAUUCAAGGACUAAGGAGCUAUACAGCAUGAGUUGGCAUAUUAGAAUCUGCUCCUAAAGAGACAUUUUAUGCCUAUGCUGGAUAGUCUUUGCAGUGAAAACCAUUUGAAUUAGAAACUGUUAAGACAUUCCUCCCAAGUACAAAGGUUGGAUUGCCCUAUGUUGCCGCUAAUCAAACUGCUGAGACAUAGUUAUUAACAUGUGGAUCCUAAAGCAUCACUCAUUCUCUUCUUGCAUUAGCUUAUUGUCACUUUUAGCUGUGACCUUGUGAAGAUCUUAUGAAUCACUUUUGUUUUCAGUUCCAUGACUUCAUUUUAAAACUAUGAAACAAUAAACAGUGCAACAAAGGACAGGGUAUUGGAGACAAAACAACAGAAGAAAAGCAGUAGGGCUGGAAUCAGCACAUCGGCUGCAGAAGCUUUUCAUCUGUGGGGAGGAUGGACAUGGGGUAUCCUGGACAUAUCUGAGACAUGAAAUGGUUAACAAAACUCCAGGCUCGCUCUCUCUAUUGGCCCAAGUCUGCACAGCCAUGAGCGUCUUCAACUCUAUCUCAAAAGGCUCUCAGCACCUUACAGGAUGGAACCCCCUCUUCGAGUCAGUUCAGUUUGCAGAGAUUUGGGAGCUGGAUGUCUUGGUGUGAUGCUGUUUGGUUUCUACUUUCAUGGGUCUCAUCUCUCAUCUCCCAGGAGGUUUGGAUCCAGGAUUGCAGUUUGGCCUACUGUAACAAUGAAUUAUUUUCACGUCCUUCUGCUUCCAGUUCUUCCCACACACUUUGUCUCUAGGAUCCCAAGUCUUUAACCUCUCCGUUGUUUGGCUCUUUCUAUCAGCUGCUUGGCCUUUGCUCCCCCCUCUUGGCUCUAGCCAACCUCUCUUUUCUGUAGGUGCCCCUAAGAUGUUUCACACUAGUGAGCACUAUGAUUUAGUCUGGUACAGUGGUUCUCCAAGCCAGUCUGCCACUUGUUCAGGGAAAGCCCCUGUCGGGCCAGGCCAGUUUGUUUGAACGCAACAGGUAAACAAACUGGCCCGGCCCGCCAGGGGCCUUCCCUGAACAAGCGGCGGACCGGCUUUGAGAAUCACUGGUCUAGUACAUAUACUUUUCAUGAAAUAAUGUCCUUCUUUAAACUCUCACUGACCUUUUAAGUCUUGGAUAAUUAAAACACAGGUGCAUUUUAAAAGAGUGGUUCAGCACAUCCAGCUGAACAUAGCACAAUCCACAUAACACACAAACCGGGGGUAAUCCGAUGAAAUUAAUAAACAAACAUAAGGAAGCACUUCUUUUCACAAUGCAGUCAACCUGGGGAGCUUGUUUCCAGGGGAUAUUGUGAAGGCCAAAAGUAUA